rnacentral:rRNA from 1 species
CCUACGGGAGGCAGCAGUGAGGAAUAUUGGACAAUGGGCGCAAGCCUGAUCCAGCCAUGCCGCGUGCAGGAUGACGGUCCUAUGGAUUGUAAACUGCUUUUGCACAGGAAGAAACAACGCUACGUGUAGCGUCUUGACGGUACUGUGAGAAUAAGGAUCGGCUAACUCCGUGCCAGCAGCCGCGGUAAUACGGGGGAUCCAAGCGUUAUCCGGAAUCAUUGGGUUUAAAGGGUCCGUAGGCGGUUUAGUAAGUCAGUGGUGAAAGCCCAUCGCUCAACGGUGGAACGGCCAUUGAUACUGCUAGACUUGAAUUAUUAGGAAGUAACUAGAAUAUGUAGUGUAGCGGUGAAAUGCUUAGAGAUUACAUGGAAUACCAAUUGCGAAGGCAGGUUACUACUAAUUGAUUGACGCUGAUGGACGAAAGCGUGGGUAGCGAACAGGAUUAGAUACCCUGGUAGUCCACGCCGUAAACGAUGGAUACUAGNUGUGGAGNAUUAUAGUGNGUAGAGAAGUAGAUAAGUAUACCCACCGUCGGGUAGGUACGGUUCGUCGAAGAAGUAGAAACGUAACGAAAGUAAGUAAGUUAGUACGGACGUAGAGACGUACGACCGACGGACGACGACGAGGGGAGGGUUAGGGAG